rnacentral:rRNA from 1 species
UGGGGAAUAUUGCACAAUGGGGGAAACCCUGAUGCAGCGACGCCGCGUGAACGAAGAAGGUAUUCGUAUCGUAAAGUUCUGUCCUAUGGGAAGAUAAUGACAGUACCAUAGAAGAAAGCUCCGGCUAAAUACGUGCCAGCAGCCGCGGUAAUACGUAUGGAGCGAGCGUUGUCCGGAAUUAUUGGGCGUAAAGGGUACGCAGGCGGUUUAAUAAGUCGAAUGUUAAAGAUCGGGGCUCAACCCCGCAAAGCAUUGGAAACUGAUAAACUUGAGUAGUGGAGAGGAAAGUGGAAUUCCUAGUGUAGUGGUGAAAUACGUAGAUAUUAGGAGGAAGACCAGUAGCGAAGGCGACUUUCUGGACACAAACUGACGCUGAGGUACGAAAGCGUGGGGAGCAAACAGG